rnacentral:lncRNA from 1 species
GCUGGAUGUUCCAAAAAAUUUGCCUCUCCUACGCUUCCUGGGGCUACGCCGUCUUCGCCGCCGACCUCCUCGGCCACGGACGCUCCGAUGGCCUCCGCUGUUACCUCGGCGACAUGGACAAAAUCGCCGCCGCAUCCCUCUCCUUCUUCCUCCACACCCGCCGUAGCGAGCCCUACCGCCACCUUCCAGCGUUCCUCUUCGGCGAAUCCAUGGGCUGCGCCGCCACCAUGCUCAUGUACUUGCAGUCCGAUCCAGACACCUGGACCGGCCUCAUCUUUUCAGCUCCCCUCUUCGUCAUACCAGAAAAUAUGAAACCGAGUAAGCUCCGACUCUUCCUAUACGGCCUUCUCUUCGGCGUCGCAGACACUUGGGCCG